AUGGCGCUCUCCGUCCGCCGCCAACCACGGUACAAGUUCGCCGCGCCGGUGCUGUCGCCGAGCUGCCUCCAGAAGCUGUGCGUUCCCUGGGAGUUCGCGGCGCGGCUCGCGGCCGGCGCCGGGGACGUGCACGUGGUGGACCUGCUUGGCAAGCCCCGGCGCGUGGAGCUGUGCGUGCGGCCGCGACCGGACGGCGGGGUGGCGUGCUGGCUGGGCGCCGGCUGGCCGGAGAUCGUCAGGAAGAACGGCAUCGGCGAAGGGUGGUCCGUGGUGCUGCGGCGCGAGCGCCGCGGGAUGGCCACCCUGACCGCCUUCGACCCGGCCUGCUGCCUCGUGCGCCUCUGCGCUCCUCCCGCAGGUGUGACGUCCAAGACCAGGCCUCGGCUCAUCAAGUUGCUUCGACCGGAUGAUUGGGAGAAGAUGACAAUCCCUGAUGAGUUUGUGCAGCAGCACUUGAUUGGGCUUGAGAGUUGCCCAAGCAGCCAAAAAGCCUUGAUCAUUGGCCCUACCGGGAAGUUAUGGCCAGUCGAGCUAGAUCAACGUCAAUCGGACGUGCUGUAUGGUGAAGUUUGGGCAGAGUUUCUGACGGCGCAUGAUCUCUCUCAAGGGAACAUCCUGCUGUUCCGGUAUGAAGUUAACAUGUCGUUUUCGGUUCAGGUCUUCCUGCCGAAUGGGUGUAUGAAGGAGUACCCUUACCUAGCUGAUGAGGCAGAUGGACCAAGCACUGCGCUCCCACAAAGUGCCAAGCAGCUUGUAGCUGCAACUGUCAGCAAGAAAAGGAAGUACAACAGACAAGUGGUUUCCGCAAUUCCUGCACCGGUUCCUGCAAUUAAAGCUAAGAAGGUCGAGUCGCAGAGCAAACCUGCCGGCGUUCUGCGAGGGCACUCAUUUACGAAGCAGAUCACCAGCUCUUCACUUACCAAAUUAUUUGCUGUGAAACGGACCUUUUGCUCAUCAAUUGGUCUCGUAGGAGCAUGUACAAUCGAGCUUAAAACAUCCAUGGAGAGCACAAGAUCUUGGCCAGUAGCUUUCAACAUCGCCAACACCUACGGCUACCUAACUGGGAAAGGCUGGAAAAGGUUUUGCCGAGACAACGAGGUAGAAGAAGGCGAUCGCUGCACCUUCAAGGUCGUCGAGAAAAUGGUCUGGCAUGUUGUUAUCAACUGA
rnacentral:rRNA from 1 species